CUUAAUGGAGGCAGCUGCAAACUUGAGGUCCAAGCAGCAAGCCUCAAUUCAAACCAAGAGUUCGAAUUGGAGUUUGGGGAUAAAGAUGAACAUUUAGAAUGAUUGUUGCUUCAGCACUUUGGGCAAAAAGCCCUAUGAAGCUGAGAAGGACUCCUGCCUACAACCUUGGAGAAGCGGUUGCCAGUCUGUGUAGACAAUAUUGAGCUAGAUGGACCAAUGGUCUGACUUGGUAGAAGGCAGCUUCCUAUGUUCCAUCUGUAGCUAACUAUGAAUCCCAAAUAUAUCCCUGAAGACACAUUCCUCAGCUCUUAGGGACAUUUUUUCAGAAGUCACCAUCAGCAGAGGGAAGAGAAACUGAAGAAAAGCAACAAAUAACAAAGAACCUGGUGGGGCCGUAAAUACUGACACAUCUAUUGCAUGGUUUUCCCUGAAGUGGCUACAUCUGGAAAGCUUCACAUGGCAUGAAUGGAGGCAAGCACUACUUUAGCAAUAGGAAAUGUUUCAAGGAGUUAUCUGGAUCACAGAUACUGUAAGAAUCUAUAAGAAGCAGUUAAGUCAGCAAAUCACAAUUCCAGUAAGACAGAAUCAACCUGGGCUUAACAUUGACUAAAAUGAACUUACGACUGAAUCAUUUUCCUGUCCUCCUUCACUGGCCUACAUACCUAGGUAAGUAUUCAUUUCCCUGAUGCACAAAAUAAUUAUUAUGCCACAUUUAAUUUUCAAUACUCAGUAUAAGAAUUGAGAGGGGGAAAGUAACACAGAAGAGAUUCUACCUUUGACCACCCUUACUUAUAAGCUGUUAGAUGCUGCCAGAGAAUUUAGCAACACACUGUGAUGCAAAGCAAUUCUUAGUAUAUUAUUUAAGGAAACAUACUGGCCCCAGGUUUUUUCUACUUAUUUGGAAUGCAGAUUAAUGACUAUAUUAUUUUGAACAAAGAUUCAAAGCAAAAAUUAAUGACAUUUAGAGUGUGAAAUAACGUUUCUGCUGUUAAUAAAUCAUCAUCAUCA